rnacentral:lncRNA from 1 species
AGUCUACAGAUAAAACAUAGAACAUGGAUGAAAUUUAUAAGAUCGCUUCUUCAAAGAGGAUACAGCAGUUGGAAAAAGAGCUGGAGGUUCAGUUGGCUGAACUUAAGACAGAAAUACAAGAACACGGAGCUCUUAAAAGAUCACUUCAUUGGCCUUACAGCUCCAUCCGGUUACCAAAGGAUGUUUCUUACUUUAGAAAAGAGAGGGAACUGGCAUUACGGAAAAGCUUGCAGGUGGCUGAAUCAAAGCCCCUUGUUAUUCAAGCAGAUGUCCUGCAGAGGGAGCUCGAAAGCUGUUUAAGGAAAGAGUACACAGUUGAAAACUUACCUUUGCUUCUGCACCAGUUUUAUACAGAGAGAAUUACCCAGUUGGUCCAGAGCAAAUACUUACACAUGCUUAGGUGGAAGAGAUUCUGCCAGCAUAGCAGCAUUAUGGAACAAAUUUAUCCUCUUUACCAGGAGCAGGUUGGGCACAUUAUGCAGGAAUACAAUGAUGCUGUUCAGAGAGCUGAGAGGUUGGCUGUUGCUCAAGAAAACUUAUUCAUGGGAAAAAACAAUCCUGGACACUUGGUAACACAGGAAGAUCUGAUGAUCUACACCAGGUGGCUAGUUUGUCAUUUAUAUUCUCUUAGAGACAUUCACAACUACCUGAGGGUGCUACAAUACUUGCCCAUAUCUGACAGAUUGGAAAUUGCUAUACAGGACGUGGAUCAAGAAAAUGGAGAUAUGUGUACUGGACAUAUAGACCCUGAGUCUUCAUCUACUAACAACCAGAAUUCUGGUUGUCAAGCUUCUUCAGUAACAAGCACUUCAGGGUUAUUCAGAAAAGAAGUUACUUCUAUUCUGCCCCACAAUAAAACAGAAGCAGUAGAACUGAAGCCUCAGCUAGAACUUCUUUUGUCUCAUUUCAACAUCUGCUACAACACAGAGGAUCUAAAGAAUUCUGCUGAUGAGAUGGAGCUCUUUUCCCUGGUUGUUCAGAAGUUUCAGAACAUCUUCCAUGAACAACAGAGAUUGAAAAUAUUUCCAGCCUAUGAUGUCAAGGUGGCUAAAGUUGAUAUCCAGGAUUUAUUAAAACCUAGCAUGACUUUCAAAAAGACAGCCAACUGGAUUCCUUUCAUAAAGAUUAAGCCAAAAUGUGAUCCUUGGCAGCAGAAACUUUUGACCAAACUAAGAGAACGAGACAGAAUCGAUGCAUUGAUGCAAUUGCAUACAAAGUUUUUGAAAGUGAGGUUUGUUCAUUUUUAA